rnacentral:lncRNA from 1 species
CACACACAACCGCCACCCCACGCAAACAGAUCAACAAAAAAAAGAAACAGGCAUGAAAAAUAGAAUUCUGAACUCGAAGCUUGUUUAAGAGCCUCUUAACCCUAAACAUAAACCAAGUACACUAAUUGUAACCAGACCAAAAACAACCCAGAGCAGAGGGAAGAGGAGAGGUUAAAUAUGAAAAAAAAAAAAAAAGGAAAGUACAACCUGAAGUUCCAUGCUUGUUGUCCUUAUUAACGAGGGAUGAGUGACAAGAUAGACCAGGUGAAAAUGAAGCAUUUUCAGAAGCUCCAUCUUUCCAGUUCACCAUAGGUGGUUUCCUGCUGAAGGUCAUGCUGAU